GUUGUAUGGUUAAGUGACUAAGCGUACACGGUGGAUGCCUUGGCAGUCAGAGGCGAUGAAAGACGUAGUAACUUGCGAUAAGCCCAGAUUAGGUAGUAACAACCAUUUGAGUCUGGGAUUUCUGAAUGGGGAAACCCACGUGCAUAAGCACGUAUCCUUACCUGAAUACAUAGGGUAAGGAGGCGAACCGGGGGAACUGAAACAUCUAAGUACCCCGAGGAAAAGAAAUCAACCGAGAUUCCGAAAGUAGCGGCGAGCGAAAUUGGACUAGCCCUUAAGCUUUACACGCGUUAGACGAACGGUCUGGAAAGUCCGACGAUACAGGGUGAUAGUCCCGUAGUUGACGACGUGUGUUCAGUGAAAUCGAGUARGGCGGGACACGUGAUAUCCUGUCUGAAUAUGGGGGGACCAUCCUCCAAGGCUAAAUACUACUGACUGACCGAUAGUGAACCAGUACCGUGAGGGAAAGGCGAAAAGAACCCCUGUGAGGGGAGUGAAAUAGAACCUGAAACCGUGUACGUACAAGCAGUAGGAGCAGGCUUGUCCUGUGACUGCGUACCUUUUGUAUAAUGGGUCAGCGACUUAUAUUCAGUGGCAAGGUUAACCAUCUAGGGGAGCCGUAGGGAAACCGAGUCUUAACUGGGCGUUCAGUCUCUGGAUAUAGACCCGAAACCAGGUGAUCUAGCCAUGGGCAGGUUGAAGGUUGAGUAACAUCAACUGGAGGACCGAACCGACUAAUGUUGAAAAAUUAGCGGAUGACUUGUGGCUAGGGGUGAAAGGCCAAUCAAACCUGGAGAUAGCUGGUUCUCCCCGAAAGCUAUUUAGGUAGCGCCUCGGACGAAUACUACUGGGGGUAGAGCACUGUUAAGGCUAGGGGGUCAUCCCGACUUACCAACCCUUUGCAAACUCCGAAUACCAGUAAGUACUAUCCGGGAGACACACGGCGGGUGCUAACGUCCGUCGUGGAGAGGGAAACAACCCAGACCGCCAGCUAAGGUCCCAAAUUACUACUAAGUGGGAAACGAUGUGGGAAGGCUCAGACAGCCAGGAUGUUGGCUUAGAAGCAGCCAUCAUUUAAAGAAAGCGUAAUAGCUCACUGGUCGAGUCGGCCUGCGCGGAAGAUGUAACGGGGCUAAGUAGUAAACCGAAGCUGCGGCAAUAUACUUUUGUAUAUUGGGUAGGGGAGCGUUCUGUAAGCGGUUGAAGGUGUGUGGUAACGCAUGCUGGACGUAUCAGAAGUGCGAAUGCUGACAUGAGUAACGAUAAAGGGGGUGAAAAACCUCCUCGCCGGAAGACCAAGGGUUCCUGUCCAACGUUAAUCGGGGCAGGGUAAGUCGACCCCUAAGGCGAGGCCGAAAGGCGUAGUCGAUGGGAAACGGGUUAAUAUUCCCGUACUUCUUACAAUUGCGAUGGGGGGACGGAGAAGGCUAGGUGGGCCUGGCGACGGUUGUCCAGGUUCAAGUGCGUAGGCUUAAGAGUUAGGUAAAUCCGGCUCUUUUUAAGGCUGAGACACGACGUCGAGCWMCUACGGKWGUGAAGUCAUUGAUGCCAUGCUUCCAGGAAAAGCCUCUAAGCUUCAGAUUGUAAGGAAUCGUACCCCAAACCGACACAGGUGGUCGGGUAGAGAAUACCAAGGCGCUUGAGAGAACUCGGGUGAAGGAACUAGGCAAAAUGGUACCGUAACUUCGGGAGAAGGUACGCUCUCGACGGUGAAGUCCCUCGCGGAUGGAGCUAUUGAGAGUCGCAGAUACCAGGUGGCUGCAACUGUUUAUUAAAAACACAGCACUGUGCAAAAUCGUAAGAUGACGUAUACGGUGUGACGCCUGCCCGGUGCCGGAAGGUUAAUUGAUGGGGUUAGACUUCGGUCGAAGCUCUUGAUCGAAGCCCCGGUAAACGGCGGCCGUAACUAUAACGGUCCUAAGGUAGCGAAAUUCCUUGUCGGGUAAGUUCCGACCUGCACGAAUGGCGUAAUGAUGGCCACGCUGUCUCCACCCGAGACUCAGUGAAAUUGAAAUCGCUGUGAAGAUGCAGUGUACCCGCGGCUAGACGGAAAGACCCCGUGAACCUUUACUACAGCUUGGCACUGAACAUUGACCCUACAUGUGUAGGAUAGGUGGGAGGCUUUGAAGCACGUACGCCAGUAUGUGUGGAGCCGUCCUUGAAAUACCACCCUUGUAGUGUUGAUGUUCUAACGUYGACCCCUWAUCGGGGUUGCGGACAGUGCCUGGUGGGUAGUUUGACUGGGGCGGUCUCCUCCCAAAGAGUAACGGAGGAGCACGAAGGUGGGCUAAUCACGGUUGGACAUCGUGAGGUUAGUGCAAUGGCAUAAGCCCGCUUGACUGCGAGAAUGACAAUUCGAGCAGGUGCGAAAGCAGGUCAUAGUGAUCCGGUGGUUCUGAAUGGAAGGGCCAUCGCUCAACGGAUAAAAGGUACUCCGGGGAUAACAGGCUGAUACCGCCCAAGAGUUCAUAUCGACGGCGGUGUUUGGCACCUCGAUGUCGGCUCAUCACAUCCUGGGGCUGAAGUCGGUCCCAAGGGUAUGGCUGUUCGCCAUUUAAAGUGGUACGCGAGCUGGGUUUAGAACGUCGUGAGACAGUUCGGUCCCUAUCUGCCGUGGGCGUUGGAAGAUUGAAGGGGGCUGCUCCUAGUACGAGAGGACCGGAGUGGACGAACCUCUGGUGUUCGGGUUGUGUCGCCAGACGCAUUGCCCGGUAGCUAAGUUCGGAAUCGAUAACCGCUGAAAGCAUCUAAGCGGGAAGCGAGCCCUGAGAUGAGUCUUCCCUGAUACUUUAAGUAUCCUAAAGGGUUGUCGGAGACUACGACGUUGAUAGGUCAGGUGUGUAAGUGCUGUGAGGCAUUGAGCUAACUGAUACUAAUUGCCCGUGAGGCUUAACCAUACAACACCCAAGGGGUUU
rnacentral:rRNA from 1 species